GUGUUGUUUUUCCUUAUAACGGUAAAAGAUUCUGAUACCACACAUAUUGGAGAGUCUUCUAUCAUGAUCCAAGGUGCUAAUGUUUCUCCUAGAAAUGAAGGAACUAAGGAUAAUGAUUCAUCAGUUAUGAUUAUAUCCGAACAGUGCCAUCCAGAACAACUUGCAGAAACAGAGAAGGUUUAUGAUGAAGAAAUUU